rnacentral:lncRNA from 1 species
UCAUUUCCCCCUUUUUUAAAAAAAAAAGGAAAACAAAGGGGGAAACCCUCUGCUAGGGUUUUCUUUAACCCAAUUUUCCCCAGCCGCCGCAACCACCUUGACAGAUCUGGAGCUCUCCUCUGGCUCUGAUUCGAGUGAAGCAAAUAAGGCUACGCCCUCCUCCACGCAGGUAAGUGUACUUUCCUUUUAUUUUCUUUUUUGAUUUGCAAAGAGAUGAACAAAAGAAAAACCCAAAAGGAGGAGGCAAGAAAUCAGAAAAAUCACCUUCAAAAUUCAACUGCCGUAGUUUAUUUUCUCCUUUUUGUAUUUCAUUUUACACUGAUUUUUGCUCUCUUUUUUUGUUUCAAUCUGCGUAAAAAAAAUAAAAUCCCCCCAACCGGCUUUAUAUAGCCGAAUGUUAUAAAAAUUAUUCCAUUCUUCCUCUGUAUUUUGCUAUUUUUCCCAUUUUUUCUCUCUCGUUUGCUGUUCGUGAUUCGAUUUGUUGCAGGUAUGUGCGUGUGUGGCAUGCGCGGAGUGCUGAACGUGGGGCGUGCAGCUGCGGCAUGAAAACUACCUAUGGUUUUUGCUAUUGAAAAUUGUUAAGGCUAGGUAUUGGGCCAGUGCUGGAUUAUUGUGUUUUGGACUGUUUUUGGGCUUUCUGGAAUCGGGUUUGGGCUUAAAAGUAUUUGGGCUGAGUGUUGUAUUUGGGUUUGUAUUAGGCCCUAAAUUUGGGACUAUCAUUGGACUUUUAUUUUUGAUUUUAAAUUAUUUGGCUUUAAUUUAUACUUAUGCGGGCCCGGGCUAAAAUUGAGCCUUA